AAUUACGGCCAUACCACCUUGAAUAUGCCCGAUCUCGGAAGCUAAGCAGGGUUGGGCUCAGUUAGUACUUGGAUGGGAGACCGCCUGGGAAUACCGAGUGCUGUAAGCG
rnacentral:rRNA from 1 species